GGGGGGGGGGGGCGGGGGGGGGGGGGGGGGGGGGGGGGGGGGGGGGGCGGGGCGGGGGGGGGGGGGGCGGGGGGCGGGCGGGGGGGUAACACGGGAGUAACCUGCCCUUGACUGGGGGAGAACUUCAGGAAACGGGGGCUAAUACCGGAUAGGAGCUCCUGCUGCAUGGUGGGGGUUGGAAAGUUUCGGCGGUUGGGGAUGGACUCGCGGCUUAUCAGCUUGUUGGUGGGGUAGUGGCUUACCAAGGCUUUGACGGGUAGCCGGCCUGAGAGGGUGACCGGCCACAUUGGGACUGAGAUAUGGCCCAGACUCCUACGGGAGGCAGCAGUGGGGAAUAUUGCACAAUGGGCGGAAGCCUGAUGCAGCAACGCCGCGUGCGGGAUGACGGCCUUCGGGUUGUAAACCGCUUUCGCCUGUGACGAAGCGUGAGUGACGGUAAUGGGUAAAGAAGCACCGGCUAACUACGUG
rnacentral:rRNA from 1 species